UACGUAGGGUGCGAGCGUUGUCCGGAAUUAUUGGGCGUAAAGAGCUCGUAGGCGGUGUGUCGCGUCGGCCGUGAAAACCUGGGGCUCAACUCUGGGCGUGCGGUCGAUACGGGCAUCACUUGAGUUCGGCAGGGGAGACUGGAAUUCCUGGUGUAGCGGUGAAAUGCGCAGAUAUCAGGAGGAACACCGGUGGCGAAGGCGGGUCUCUGGGCAGUAACUGACGCUGAGGAGCGAAAGCGUGGGGAGCGAACAGG
rnacentral:rRNA from 1 species